GACCCGGUGGUGAAUGGAUCAUACCUGCUCCAUGUAGUUUGCAGUCGUCGCACAUUGUAAAGCAGGAGUCCUGGUUCAAGUCCGGGCUGGGUCG